rnacentral:tmRNA from 1 species
CCUCUUGCUUUCAGUGUUUUGAAUCCUUAUACUCUUAGUUGUCGGAUUUAUCCGGCUAUGAUGCUAAACGCCCUGCGGAAUAGGCGUAGCGGACCCGGGGGCGGUACCCGGCGUCUCCACCAUUUUAUCUAGCGGCUCGGCCGGAGUUUAAAAACAAAGCGUACUUUCAUGUACGUGAGUAUUCGAGAACCGGACCGACCGUACAGAUGAGCUUAUCUUCGUUCAUGUGAAUUCGUUUUAGAGUUCAUAUGAAGGAAGGACCGGAUCGCAGAAACGGAGCGUACUUUAUCGUACGUGAGUAUUUGAGAACCGGACCGACCGUACAGAUGAGCUAUAAAACGGAUUCAAGCAAAGGGGGACGAAACAGGAUCGACGCGCGUAGUAAAGACAGGAUCUGCAUCCGGCAUUGUACCACCGUUAUCGGGCUAUAACUUUAAAUGCGAAUGAUAAUCGCACUCAGGUUGCUCUCGCUGCGUAAUGCGGCCGGACGACCGAACUUAAUCCCCGGGGCUUGAGCGCUUCGGGUGGGGCGGGGACUUGCCUAGCAACAGAAGUGUCCCAUU